rnacentral:rRNA from 1 species
GACGAACGCUGGCGGCGUGCUUAACACAUGCAAGUCGAACGGAAAGGCCCUGCUUUUGUGGGGUGCUCGAGUGGCGAAAGGGUGAGUAACACGUGAGUAACCUGCCCUUGACUUUGGGAUAACUUCAGGAAACUGGGGCUAAUACCGGAUAGGAGCUCCUGCUGCAUGGUGGGGGUUGGAAAGUUUCGGCGGUUGGGGAUGGACUCGCGGCUUAUCAGCUUGUUGGUGGGGUAGUGGCUUACCAAGGCUUUGACGGGUAGCCGGCCUGAGAGGGUGACCGGCCACAUUGGGACUGAGAUACGGCCCAGACUCCUACGGGAGGCAGCAGUGGGGAAUAUUGCACAAUGGGCGGAAGCCUGAUGCAGCAACGCCGCGUGCGGGAUGACGGCCUUCGGGUUGUAAACCGCUUUCGCCUGUGACGAAGCGCGAGUGACGGUAAUGGGUAAAGAAGCACCGGCUAACUACGUG